rnacentral:lncRNA from 1 species
CUGAUGUAGAAAACUGUUUGUUUUGAGGACUUCAAAACAAACAGUUUUAUACAUCAGUGGAUUUAUACCAUUUCGGUGAAUCACAUCAUCCAUUAAAUCAUUAUACAGCCGUGUGCUUUGUUUAGCGCUUUGUCCUCUAAUUCUUUUUUUUUUUGUUGUUGUUGUGUUGUGUUUUCUUUAUCUAGAUGUCGAAAAACGUUUUCAAGAAACGGACUGGUAAACCUGGGCAAGUGGCCGCAUCGUCAUUUAUGAUGCAGAAAUAAUCCUGCGAGUGGAAAGCCUCUGGGGGCCUUUGUCGGUGCACUGACUCCGCGCUCCUCUUAAGACAAAAGCCAGACGCUUCCUGUGGCAACAAUCGGGCUUCCUGCGUCCCGCCAUGUGUUGCCCUAUCGAAGGGGAUCGGGGCACUGAGGCGGCUGACCACGUGAGCUCAGAUGGCCGUACGGCCAACAGGGGUGUGCGUCUGCCAAGGCUGUGGCCUCGCGGAGGAGGAUCCCACAUGCUGGGCUUCUCACAGGGAUCACCUGUUGCUGCACACAGGUCAGGAUUUCCAGGGAGACUGAGCUUCCUCCAGGACACCUGCCCCCCCCAACCUGCCUUGCUCUGCUCACUUAUAGAACAUUACCUCAUCACCGCCUUUGUUUCUGAAGCUCCUCUUCAUCACCUGUUUGCUCCAAGAUUCUCUUCCUCCACUCUCUCUUUAUCUAACUCUAGUACCAGCCAGUUGUGCCUAUAGGAAGUUAAUUGAAACAGAGCUUAUUAUUAUCAUUUCUUCUUUUACCUGCUGCUGUUUCAAAGUAAGUGACAAUGUUAGGUUUCUCUUGUAAGAUACCUUCAGUAUAUUAGAUGUUUAUAGAGUUUUACCAUAUCAGUUCAGAGUAUGGACCCUGAUCAGGGAUACCAUAGCAGGAGGUGGGAUUUGAACCUGGGUCCUUGGAGUGCUACCAGCUCAAAACUUUAUACCAAGAACAUCAGGUCUAAUUAUAGUUAUUCGAAUAAACAAUUUUUUGGAUUCUUCCUGAAAGUUUCA